GAGAGACAAUUUAUUUUUCACUUGUAAAUUUGCUCAGCUAUCAAUUGACGGUGAGAAAGGAAAAAAGAGAACCUGGUACAUAUUUUACCAAUCUUAUAUUUGUAAGGACAGAUGAUUAGUCCCCUUGUUACAUUAACAAAUGAUAAAUCUAUUGCUCAAAAAAAAGAUAAGUGUAAAGAGAGAAAGAGCUGAAGAGACGAAGGAUGUUAACUCAAUCAGUUGGUGCAGCACAAGGUAUAAUACCUGAUUGGCCAAGCCAUGGAGUGGUCCAGCCAAACCAUUCAAUGCAGCU
rnacentral:misc_RNA from 1 species